rnacentral:lncRNA from 1 species
AGUUCCCCCUCAGUCUAUGUAGAGCUGACCAGGGAAGAACACUUUGGAGGGCUGUUGGAACAAGGGAAGUAACCUCAAAUGCUCCAGGGGACUGCUUUGAACGGAUUCUUAACCUAAGGCCUGGGGAGUGACAAAAGUAGGAAAAGAGAGGAAGACACUAUCUGAAGGACCUUGGAGGACCUCAGGCCCAAGCAAACACACUAAGUUGCCUGCUCUAAGCCUUUACCUGGAAUGGGUUCCUCCUCAAUUCUCUUCUACCUCCAUUAAGUUCUAGUUGAAAAAAAAGAAGGGGAAAGAGAAGCUCUCUGCUGGAUCAAAGGCAAGGGAACAGUCCUUGAGGAAGCUUAGCCAGAGAAAGAAGACUGGUGACUUGAUCAGACUCCGCUCACCUAGGCUCCCCAACCCAGGGGUAGGGCUAACACAGUUAUUCCCUGCAAUGAAGAAUAAGAGAGAAAAAAAAAAAAUCAGAAAAACUAGCCAGCAUAGCCACCACAUCUGAUGAUCUACACGUAGCAGGUAAGCUCUGGCCACAUUCCCACUGUAGGAGGUAGGCUGCAUCUCCCUUUG